CUUGGACAGUUAAGCAGGAUUUGCUAAGCUGCUGUUACUGAAACGAGGGGCUGUUCCGACCGUAAGGUCAUCACAACGGCAUGCUGUUUUAUCUUGCAGCCAUGCACUUCAAUGAGAAUGAGUCCCCACAACGGAAGACAGCCAAGGAGAAACUAUGUACAGACUUGCCAAACAAUUUAUCAUCAAAGACCCUCUUUAUUGGGAUGCCGUCCAGCCGAUUCCUGUGCCCCAGGACUUGUGUGCUCAGCUUGACAGACCUUCCAUGGAGGAUGCUGUUGCUGAACAUGUGUCACGGUUCAGUCAAAAAGGGGUCUGAAUCCAACGUACUGCCCU